rnacentral:rRNA from 1 species
GAUGAACGCUGACAGAAUGCUUAACACAUGCAAGUCUUUGGCGAAGCUGUGCUCGCACAGCCUAGCCAAGGCGGACGGGUGAGUAACGCGUAAGGAACUUGCCCUGCAGUCAGGGAUAACAGACGGAAACGACUGAUAAGACCUGGUAAAGUCAGGCGGACUCAUGUCCAGCCUGAUGAAAAGAGAUGCUGCAGGAGAGCCUUGCGUCCUAUUAGCUUGUUGGUGGGGUAACGGCCCACCAAGGCGAUGAUAGGUAGCCGGCCUGAGAGGGAGGACGGCCACAAGGGGACUGAGAUACGGCCCUUACUCCUACGGGAGGCAGCAGUGGGGAAUAUUGGACAAUGGGGGCAACCCUGAUCCAGCAAUUCUGCGUGCACGAUGAAGGUUUUCGGAUUGUAAAGUGCUUUCAGCAGGGAAGAAAAAAAUGACGGUACCUGCAGAAGAAGCGACGGCUAAAUACGUG